rnacentral:rRNA from 1 species
UACGGGGGGGGCAAGCGUUGUUCGGAAUUACUGGGCGUAAAGGGCUCGUAGGUGGCCAACUAAGUCGGACGUGAAAUCCCUCGGCUUAACCGGGGAACUGCGUCUGAUACUGGAUGGCUUGAGUUCGGGAGAGGGAUGCGGAAUUCCAGGUGUAGCGGUGAAAUGCGUAGAUAUCGGGAGGAACACCAAUGGCGAAGGCAGCUCGCUGGGACGUGACUGACGCUGAGACGCGAAAGCGUGGGGAGCAAACAGG